CCUACGGGUGGCUGCAGUGAGGAAUAUUGGUCACUGGACGACAGUCUGAACCAGCCCAGUCGCGUGAAGGAAGACUGCCCUAUGGGUUGUAAACUGCUUUUAUAUGGGGGUAAAAGGUUCCACGUGUGGCAUUUUGUACGUAUCGUAUGAAUAAGGAUCGGCUAACUCCGUGCCAGCAGCCGCGGUAAUACGGAGGAUUCGAGCGUUAUCCGGAUUUAUUGGGUUUAAAGGGUGCGUAGGUGGAUGGAUAAGUCAGUGGUGAAAGUUCGCGGCUCAACCGUGAAAUUGCAUGUGAUACUGUCAGGCUAGAGAGCAGUAGCGGUAGGCGGAAUUCGUGGUGUAGCGGUGAAAUGCUUAGAUAUCAUGAAGAACACCGAUUGCGAAGGCAGCUCACUGAACUACAACUGACAUUGAGGCUCGAAAGUGUGGGUAGCAAACAGGAUUAGAUACCCGUGUAGUC
rnacentral:rRNA from 1 species